UACGGGGGGGGCAAGCGUUGUUCGGAAUUAUUGGGCGUAAAGGGUUUGUAGGUGGCUUGCUAAGUCAGACGUGAAAUCCCUCAGCUUAACUGGGGAACUGCGUCUGAGACUGGCAAGCUCGAGUGCAGGAGAGGAACGCGGAAUUCCAGGUGUAGCGGUGAAAUGCGUAGAUAUCGGGAGGAACACCGGUGGCGAAGGCGGCGACCUGGGUCGAGACUGACGCUGAGGCGCGAAAGCGUGGGGAGCAAACAGG
rnacentral:rRNA from 1 species